GGUUAGGCCGAUAGCGCUCUGACACUUCUGUUGCGGUUGACGUACGAGAACAUAGUUAGAUAGUGACGACGGCGAAAUGAAUAGGCAUCUGGUGGUCUCGGCUGUGCUGCUGACGCUGGCGCUGUGUUUGGCGAUGCUGCAGGCGACCCCAGUGGCUGAACCGCAACAUAACCAUUGGUACUGGGAUAAUCCCCACCCGGAUUAUGGGUGGAACCACCCCUACGGAUGGUGACGGUUUCUACGGAUACCGACACCGACACCACUGUGGCUAUUACUGAGACAAAGUUAUUCUGCCUCCUUCUUCUGAAUAAUACACUUUCUGGCUAACGGCGGUAACGACCAUACAUGCAUUUUCUUUGACUCUCUGCCCUGGGCGCCGCUCGGAUGUAUUGUUCUACUUUCAAUGUGUGUCUUCUUCGAUGCGAUAUUAGUGUCACAAUGCAAGAAUUUCAUAGCAACAUUAGUGUGAAAAGAAAUGAAUUACUCUGAAAGCUCUGCCCACUUAGUUUUUGUUUCAAAUCAUGCACCCACUGAUGAAUCAAUUGUUACAUUUUACAUAGAUUAGCCAAUGGAAAUCAUUUCUGUACGUUUAUUCUGAUAUCUAUUGCCUUAAAUUAACUAGUUUUUUACGUUUAUCAGUUGAAGACAUACUGUAAACAUCCAGUUUGAGAUGGACUAUGUAAAAAUAUCUAUGCAAUAAAUCUCAUUUGCAAACUUGAA